CCCGUGCUAUUCUCAUGAUAGUGAAUGGGAAGAUCUGAUAAUGUUAUAAACAGGAAUUUCUCUGCACAAGCUCUCUUUUUGUCUGCUGCCUUCCAUGUAAAAUGGGACUUGCUCCUCCUUGUCUUCCACCAUGAUUGUGCAGCCUCCCCAGCCAUGUGAAACUGAUUCAUGACCACUACCCCAAAAUACGGCACCUCUGCCUGUGUGGAAACAACAGAAGCAGGAAGAUUACUCUCAUUUUUCUCUGGCCUUUUUCCCUUGAAGCAGACCAUAAAGAAGAAUCUGACCUUCCUCUGAAGGAAACCUUCAUUCCAGACAUACCCUCCCUAUAUCCAAAGAACAUCUUUAUCUUUAAAGACACAGAGAUGCCAAGAAGAAUCUGAACAAACAGGCUUUGCCAGAUUCCCCAGUUUACUAAUAUUGGACCAUACUCUUUUGUUCUUCAAUCAUACUUCUGCAUGAUGUCCAUAAAAAUACACAGUUUUCCCCAUUCCUUUGGGUAUUUAUUCCUGAAAGCCUCUGUGUCAUGUAAAACUUAUAUUAAAUAAAUUUGUAUGCUUUUGCUUGUG